rnacentral:rRNA from 1 species
GACGAACGCUGGCGGCGUGCCUAAUACAUGCAAGUUGAGCGCUGAAGGUUGGUACUUGUACCAACUGGAUGAGCAGCGAACGGGUGAGUAACGCGUGGGGAAUCUGCCUUUGAGCGGGGGACAACAUUUGGAAACGAAUGCUAAUACCGCAUAAAAACUUUAAACACAAGUUUUAAGUUUGAAAGAUGCAAUUGCAUCACUCAAAGAUGAUCCCGCGUUGUAUUAGCUAGUUGGUGAGGUAAAGGCUCACCAAGGCGAUGAUACAUAGCCGACCUGAGAGGGUGAUCGGCCACAUUGGGACUGAGACACGGCCCAAACUCCUACGGGAGGCAGCAGUAGGGAAUCUUCGGCAAUGGACGAAAGUCUGACCGAGCAACGCCGCGUGAGUGAAGAAGGUUUUCGGAUCGUAAAACUCUGUUGGUAGAGAAGAGCGUUGGUGAGAGUGGAAAGCUCAUCAAGUGACGGUAACUACACAGAAAGGGACGGCUAACUACGUG